GAAACCAUCCACCACUUUGGAUCACCUAUCGUCACAUCAAACUUAUGAGUUAUUAUCAAAUAUUUAGAGACCUUUAUGAGCCGAAAUUCAAUAGAAAAUGAAACAAAUAAAAUAAAUGUUUAGAUCAUGCUACUAAAUCCAUAGGUAAAAACAACAAUAACAACACAGAGAGUGAUAAUAAUCAUAGGACAAUAAUAAAUUUGAUAUAAUUAUCAGACAUACUAAAGAAGCAAAGA
rnacentral:misc_RNA from 1 species